rnacentral:rRNA from 1 species
CCCUUAGAUGCUCUGGGCCGCACGCGCGCUACACUGACGAAGUCAGCGAGCAUGUCCUACGCCGAUAGGUGCGGGGAAUCUUGUGAAACUUCGUCGUGCUGGGGAUUGAUUAUUGAAAUUAUUGAUCAUCAACGAGGAAUUCCUAGUAAGCGCAAGUCAGCAGCUUGCGUUGAUUACGUCCCUGCCCUUUGUACACACCGCCCGUCGCUACUACCGAUUGAAUGGUUUAGUGAGAUCUUCGGAUUGGUGCCACCGAGUCCAGCAAUGGACACGGUGGAUAUCGAAAAGUCGAUCAAACUUGAUCAUUUAGAGGAAGUAAAAGUCGUAACA